ensembl:lncRNA
GCUGGGCCUGAGGAGCCCCUUCCCCACUCUCCUCUUAGCCCCACUGUGCUCUCCACUCCUCACUCUGCCAUUCAACCUCUUACCUGACAAACCCUUAUUGAGCAGCUACUAUGUGCUAGCACUGAGAUGAGCAAGGACAGGUUUAUCUCAGGUCUCCAUCAAAGAGGCGACAGUGACCAGACAGUCACAGCACACGUGCAGAGGGCUGGGCUUGGACAGAGAAGAGAAAAUCAGAGGGGCCACUGGAGGAGGUACCAUGGAAGUUGAGACCUGCAGCAUGAGUGAGAGUUGGGGACAGGGUUCCAGGCAACGGGAACAGCAUGUGCCAGGGAUAGGAGGCCAGAAAUGAGAUCAUGUGGUUAGAGCAUUGAAUGUGAGCCAAAGAGGCAGCCUCUGCAUCUCAGCUUCUUCAUCUGGUAAAUGGAGACAGCAGCUUGCUAGUGGGCUAAGACACGACGUGGGUGGCCUACCGGCUGCAGUGAUCAUCAUCCCAACCCUGCUCUCCUCGUCGUCUCUCCUGAUCAUCAGCUUCAUCUUAUGGAAAACUUGCCGCCGGUUGUCCCGGGUCACCCAGCCCCGCCUGCCAUCCACAUGAGGGGCCCAGGAAUCUGAAUUGUGGAAUGUGACACCCAGAAAUGGAGCUGAGUUAUAUUAAUGCCUGGGAACCUCUGCUGCUGAGGCCCCUGGAGCUACCCUGCUCCUUUCAAAGACCCAUUCAUCAAUAAUCCUUUUGAUUCUGAAAGUCCUUGCAAUCAAUUCCCCAAACUUUUAAUUUUCAUUUCUUUCAGAAUCAGUUUGUUACUUUUAAAGAAAAAACUUUGAAAUUAACAGUGAAGACAGAUGAAGCUGGUGGGGUAUACAGUCAGCAUGGUCCAGUGUAUGUAUAAUAGGACCCACAUAUGUAAUUUUGCAUUUUCUAGUAGCCACAUUUUAAAAAUUGAAGUUAAUGAAAUUAAUAUUAACAAUGUUUCAUUUCACCCAAUAUAGAUAAGUAUUAUAUUUCAGUAUCUAGUCAAAAUGUUUAAAUUGCUAAUGAGAUGUUUUACAUUCUUCUCUUUGAACCAUGUCUUUGAAAUGUGGGGUGUAUUUUACACAUAUAGCAUAUCUCAAAUAAGACUGGCCACACUUUGAGUGCUCCAUAGCCACAUGAGGCUGGUCGCUUGCAUAAUGGAUAGCACAGAUUAAGAUAUUCAAGGUGAUGAAGGAUCUGCUAAGAAGUCCUGGCCUCAUUCUAAAGAGAUUCAUCCCCAGAAGAGAUUCAAAUCUAGAAGUAACAUGAUAAAAUAUAUAUAUAACUUUAGGAAGAUCACUCUGACUUCCACUUAUAGAAUGGACAGGAAAGGAACUGAAGCUUGAGUUAGGGAGAUCAGUUAGGAGGAGCUGAAGAGAGAAUGAGAGGUAAAGAUGUUGAUGAUAGACUUUGGUGGCAGCAGCUGAAAUAUUAAGAUGCAGUCCUUCCCAUCACUCCAUCUCACAUAUCUUCCCCUAUUCUCUCUGGCAACCAAAGAGGCAAAUCUAUGAUCUUUAAGGCAUAGUCCCUGGCAGUUAUGCCCACAAAGCGGUCCACAAUAGGAGAUCAAUCAACAGAUGUGUCUUUCCUCCCUCAAUGAAAUGUCCUCUGAAUGCUCCUGCCCGCACCUAACUGCUGAUACUGAAAUUUGAAAGACAGGAAUAUUGGCCCAAUCUAUGGUAAACUGGAGAUCCUGUCCUAGGAAUUUUCCAGCAACUCUAAGAAGAGCUUUCUGCUGCAUGGGUGAAGGUGGAAAGUUAUAUUUAACCAGAGUUGUGGUUUUGCUUAGAGAGUAUACAUACAACAAAUUAAAAAGAGGCAAGGAAGUAGUGGGUGAAUACAAGGGAAUGAUAAUAAAAAUAACUAUGGAAUUUAAGCCAGCAUGGGAAUAUUUAAGAGAUAUUCAUAAAAAUUCCAGUUCUCCAACCCCACCCCCUGCUUCUGGACCCUGGGAAGAAAUGCACUUUUCUGUCCAUUUGAGGCUAGGUGUGGCCAUGUGACUAGUUCUGGCCAAUUAGAUUACAGACUCUAGAUGGAGCAUUUAAUUGCCAAGACCCUCCAGUUUCUCUUUUCCCUCUCAUAUACUGACCAAUGUUAUUUGAAAUGGUGGCUUUUCCAUCAGCCUGGGUUUCUCACUAUGAAAAGCAGAGUCCUCUGUUUGUUGACCGACAAUGUUCAAGUUGUGUGAGCAGGAAAUAAAUCUUUCUUCACUAUAUUAAAGCUUAAAAUGCAAGCCUUAAAUAUAAACCUGAAAUAUUGGGAUUGUUUUUUACUACAGCACCACAUAGCCUAGCCUGACUGAUAUAACCAGAAGAGAGGACAUUAAUAGGGAGGGAGAAAAUGAAAAAUGUAAGAUUAAUAGAUUUCAGUUCCUGGCACUGAAGAUUGAUGAAGUCCCAAUAGGAGAGAGAAUAACUGGAGAGACACUUGGUAUUAUUAGAGCGGUAAAUUCAUGGCAAGGUCUAGGACAAGAUCUCUGAAGCAAGAAUCUGAGAGAACAAUGUCAGGAGGAUCAUCUCUGUGUGUAUUGAAAUUGUCAAAGAUUAAGACAGAAAUAAUGUCGAAGAGGGUUAACAGGCAGAAGCCAAAAUUCUUAUUGUUUCUCUUCCCACAAGGAAGACAUGAAUGCCAUGAAGGUAAGACUUCUGUGCUCACAUUUAUGUCCCCAGUGCCUGGGACGGCACCUGCCACAGGGAAGACACUUAAUAUACACUUGCUGAAUGCAUGAGCAGAAGAAGGGGAGGAUAGUACACCAUACAUUUUGACAAAUAAAUUUAAUUCAGGCAACAGAGUACUUUCCAGUUCUUACUCCUUUGCUUCUGUUUUUUUCUGCAAUACUUUCCCCCCAGACCACAGUGGCUGUUCUCUUUGUCCACGAGUCUGCUUGUUGAUCUAUCUUCUUGUUGCCAGAAAUCUCAAGGAGCUACUUUUUAAACUUAUCCCCAGAGGCUUGCAUGCUGGCAACUCUAGCUAAUACCAUCCCCCAUGUUACAAAACACCAGUGUUAUUUUCUCCUCCACCUUCUC